rnacentral:rRNA from 1 species
CACUCCUUGACAUGGAAAUUAUACCUAUUCGAAGGGAUAGGGUCGGUUCGGCCGGGUUUCACACAGGUGUUGCAUGGCUGUCGUCAGCUCGUGUCGUGAGAUGUUGGGUUAAGUCCCGCAACGAGCGCAACCCUCAUCCUUAGUUACCAUCAGGUAGUGCUGGGGACUUUAAGGAAACUGCCAGUGAUAAACUGGAGGAAGGUGGGGAUGAUGUCAAGUCAUCAUGGCCCUUAUGGAGUGGGCUACACACGUGCUACAAUGGUGGCUACAAUGGGCUGCAAAGUCGCGAGGCUAAGCCAAUCCCUUAAAAGCCAUCUCAGUUCGGAUUGUACUCCGCAACUCGAGUGCAUGAAGUUGGAAUCGCUAGUAAUCGUGGAUCAGUACGCCANCGGUGAAUA